rnacentral:rRNA from 1 species
GACGGAGGGGGCUAGCGUUGUUCGGAAUGACUGGGCGUAAAGGGCGCGUAGGCGGUAUAUUAAGUGAGGCGUGAAAGCCCUGGGCUUAACCCAGGAUGUGCGUUUCAUACUGGUAUGCUAGAGUGCGAGAGAGGAAAGUGGAAUUCCUAGUGUAGAGGUGAAAUUCGUAGAUAUUAGGAAGAACACCAGAGGCGAAGGCGGCUUUCCGGCUCGCAACUGACGCUGAGGCGCGAAAGCGUGGGGAGCAAACAGG